rnacentral:ncRNA from 1 species
UGACCUCGGAUCAGACGUGAUUACCCGCUGAAUUUAAGCAUAUUAUUAAGCGGGAGGAAAAGAAACUAACAAGGAUUCCCCUAGUAACGGCGAGUGAACGGGGAAGAGCCCAACACCGAAUCCCUUGGCGCAAGUCAACGGGAAAUGUGUGUGUUAAGGUAGCCCUUCGUGUCAGUCUAGGCGUCUCAAGUCCACCUGAUUGUGGCUCAAGCCCAGAGAGGGUGUAAGGCCCGUAGAGACGCUCCGACUGAUUCCUGGGUUUACCUACGAGUCGGCUUGUUUGGGAAUGCAG